UAAAAGUAUAGCCAGUGUAGUUGUUUGUCUCUGUUUUCCAGUGCAAACAUCUCCUUUAUUAUGCAUGUUUUGAUAAAAGAAAAACUCCUAAUGUUAAAGAAAUGAUUGAUUUCUUCCAUCAAUCUUUGGCUACUGCUAAAACCUUACAACCUGUAGGCAUAACACCUGUAGGCAUAAUACAUUAAAAACUCAGUUCAGUGUUUCAUGCUGAAAGUGGGACUCUAUUAGAGGGAAGCUUUUAAUGUUUGUAUAGGGUCUGACAUACUGGAUUUUAUUUAACAGCUGAGUUUC
rnacentral:lncRNA from 1 species